AGUGAUGUGGCUCAGUUGGUAGAGUGUUUGCCAUGAAUGCAGAAAGCCCUUGGUUCAAUCCCCAGCACUA
rnacentral:tRNA from 1 species